rnacentral:lncRNA from 1 species
GGCUGCACCUGCAGCAUAUGGAAGUUCCCCGGUUAGGGGUCAAGUUGGAGCUGCAGCUGCUGGCCUACACCACAGCCACAGCAAUGUCCAAUCUAAGCAGCAUCUGCAACCUAUGCUGUAACUUGAGGCAAUUCUGGGGCAAUUCUGGAUCCUUAACACACUGAAUGAGACCAGGGAAUCGAACCCACAUCCUCAUGGAUAUUAGUUGGGUUCUUAACCCACUGAGCCACACAACUCUCAUCCCUGGGACAAAAUAAAAUAGGGCAUAAAUGACUUGUAAAAAUAAAAUUUUAAAUGGUUGAAAUUUUGUAUUACUUCAAAUCCUGACAGUUUAAGGAAAAAUAAAAUAAAAUGAAUAUUGGUCAAGGAGAAUUAAAACAUGAGAGGGAAAACAAACCCUGGUAAGAGUUCAAAAGACAGGAAUAUAUUUCUAAUUUUGCCAGAUCUUUACAUAUUGAAUCACAGGAUACCUUUAUGAGGCAAAGAGAUAAAAUUAUGCCCUAUUUAUUUAUUUGUUCUUUGGCCACGUCUGUGGCAUGUGGAAAUUCCCAGGCCAGUGAUCAAACCAGCACCACAACAGUGACUGAAGCCACUGCAGUGACAGUGCCAGCUCCAUAACUAGCUGAGCAACUAGGGAACUCCAUGCCCCUUUUAAAAAUAAAAAAAUGUAAGAAAAAUAAAAACAGGCUCAGAGAUGUGCAAGGCUGCUCCCAAGACCCCAAAGUGCAGAUGCCACCCACGCUGGCCUCCUGACCAUAAUGCCCUUCUCUUUUUCUUUUUUCUUUCUUUCUUUUUUCGUCUUUUUAGGGCCACACCCAUGGCAUAUGGAGGUUCCCAGGCUAGGGGUCCAAUCGGAGCUGUGGCUGCUGGCCUACACCACAGACACAGCAAUGUGGGAUCUGAGCUUCAUCUGCGACCUACACCACAGCUCAUGAUAACGGCAGAUCCUUAACCCACUUAGUGAGGCCAGGGAUCGAACCUGAGUCCUCAUGGAUACUAGUUGGGUUUGUUACAACUGAGCCAUAAUGGGAACUCCCAAACUAUGUUUUAGAACAGUUUCAGAUUAACAGAAAAACUAGGAAGAUACUAUGGAGUUCCCAUAUUAUUAGCAUCUAACUUUGGUGUGGUACAUUUGUUACAAUUAAUGAAUCAAUAUCGGUAAUGACUUUUAAACUAAAGUCUAUACUUUAUCCAGCGUUCUUAGCUUUUCCUUAUUCUGUUUCAGGCUUCCCACCCAGGAUCCCACAUGACAUCUGUGAGAGAAAUACCCAGUUCCUUCCUAUGGACACCCCAUCAUGUCCUGGCAUGGAUUUAUCAUGCUUAUUUAUUUUAAUAAGGGACUCCCAGGUUUCACUCAAAGAAAUCUUAAAAGAACAUGCAUAAGAGUUCUUUGGGUCUUGGAAUAAUACAUGCCUUGUCAUCUGGCCACAAACAGUACAAGCAGGCCCAUCAGGACCAGGCAGGAGGAAGAGGCUAGCUGACCCUGGGCUCAACUUGAGACUCAAAACAGACAACAGGAGAGUAGCCAACAGUGAAAACACUUUCAUUUAUGCAUUUCUCUACAGAUCAUCCAUGAGCUGUCACAAUGCAUCUUUUUAGCAUGGAGUAUCUCUUGAAUUGAUUGAGGGCAAAAGGAUUUUCUUUGCUGUCUUGUCCUGAAACUGCUUUAUUUUCCUAGAGGACCUCUUAAGUAAAAAGUAUUUUAAGUUCAUUCUCUUACACAUGAUGAAGCCUACACACAUGGUGAACUUGGGUUGCCUCAUUCAUUCACUCAGAAUGAUGUGUGGAGUGUCUGCUGAGUGGAGCUAUUGCAGACUGUCAGACUUGUUUUUCUUUGCUCACUUUCUCAUCUCCCCUCCUCUGGCAACAGAUCUGCCCCCAUUCACAGGAUUAGCUCAGGUCAUCACGGACUGUCAGGUCCUCACAAACAGUGUGGCGUAUAGUGUGCCCUGGGCCAGCUGACAGGUAGAUUCUGGGAAGACAAAGCCUUUUUCUGCAGAGGUUGCUCUGUGAAGACAGGACCUGCAGGCAGCCUCUUCCGGGCAGUGUGAGCCUGAGUGUUGCCCUGGCAGACAACCAGGAGAGAACCCUCAGAGAUGGGGCCUUGGAGGGGGAUCCUCUGUCUCGCUGUCAUCCCCAAGCACUGGGAAUCCUUUCUUUGACUGUCUGGAUUACUCCAGCUCUCUACUACCCCUGGAGUGACUAACCUGCCUUUUUUGCUAAGCCGGUGUGAAUUAGUUUCUGUCCCAUCCUCUGUCACUUGUGUUGAAAGAGCUCUAAUAACAACCCUGGGCACUUUGGGUACGUCCUGGUCAACAAAAUAACACUGAGCAUUGGGAUAGUACAAAUAAAACCCACAAUGGAAUACCACACCAUACACACCUGGAUGGCUACAAACCACUGACAAAACCAGUGUUGAAACUGAUGUAAGUUAAUGGGAACCCUUACAUCCUGCUGGUGAGAGUGUAAAUGGGCAUAGUUACUUUCAAAAACUGUUUGGCAACACCUCCUGAAACUGAACAUACACCUCCCCUAAGAUUCAGCAAUUCAGCAUGACAAACAUGCAUGUGUGUCACCAAAAGACAAGCACACAACACCACUAUUUACAAUCACCAGAACCUUCCAAGCCCCAGGAAGAGAAUACUAGGUGGGUGCUUUGUGCCUCAUCCACAGGACAGAAGGUUACAUGACAAUGAGGCAAACAAUCACCAGUUACACUCCACAUGGAUGGACCUCCCACCCUGGGGAGCAAGAGGUACCAACCCAGUCCUGCAGAAUCCUGUGCCAGGUGGGUGGUCCUGGCCCUGUGGGGGAAAUAACUGAAGGGAGCAAAGGGGGCUCUGGAGGUUGCUCUUGCUCUGCUGCCUCCUCUGGACAGUGGUUCUACAAGCUCAUUUUGUGAAAAAUUGUCUGUGUGUUUAUGAUGUGUGCCCUUUCCUAUAUCUAUAUUUUAACAAAAAGUUAAAAUACAUCAUCCUGAGCCCAGGAAGCAUACAAUCCAGUGGAGAAGACAGAAUAAAGUAAAUACACGAAUGUCUCCCCUCUGCCACUGCCAUCCAGGGUGGAGAAUGCUUUGAUCUUUUUUCAUCUGGAAGCCGCAUAGCCAUCUCGAUUCCUUUGUUGUCUCUUUUUGGGUCUUUUCCAGUUCUGUCCUAUCUAUCUGGAUGAGUAGUGACCAUAAAUUCAUGAAAUAUUGUGUACAGAUGUUCCAGGAUUUGGGACAAAUAACAUAAAAUCUAUUUUCUUUUACUUGAUCUUCCUGGAUUAAGACUAGCGAUCUGCAAGCCUUUCUUGAUGCAGAGGUAUCUGAAAUAUUGUUCUGGGAAGCAGUCAAUAUGCGUUUUCUUUGGAUCAUAAUUGAUAGAGAAGGGCACAUCUUUUGAUAUGCAUUUUUGGUAUUUUCUCCCUGGCAGUCUUAUGAACAAUCAUUUUUAAAUUACUUUUCUGUGUGCUCUGAAGAAUGUUUUCAAUACAUCCUCAUCCCCUUGGUAUUUCAGUGCGUGGAAAGGCUUAAAGUUGUCUGAAAAGAUGGAGAUUUUACUGUUGACUCCCUCUUGGUUCAUUUACAUAAAAGUGCAAUUGAAUCUCUACCCUGAAAUAUGGUUCACAUGAUUUUGUUCAACGGGAAUUAGUUGAAUCACAUUUGAGAGAAAUGGGCCAAGAGCUGCAGCUUAGACAUUUUUGUUACAUUAAAAUUUUCUUGUAAAGACAUUUAGUUGAAUGUUCGUAUGCUUUCUAUUUAUCUUUCAUAAUUUCUUUCUAUUAAGAGUUCAGCUUACAUGUACAUUUAAAUAACAUUUGAAGAAAUACUAAUUUCCAGAGGCUAAGGCUGAUGAAAGAAACAGAAAAGGCC